AUUUAAGUGACAUUACAACCACUAAAGCAAAGCCACUAGAAAAAGGAGAGUGCUCGAGGACAAAAUUCAACCGCACUAGAGAAAGCGAGGACUCGAAUGAUGAAGACAUGCUGUCAGAUACCAUUUUCCAAGACAAAAUUCGAGGACAAAAUCUUCAAGGGCUCGUGACAGGUGCUUCUUCAGCUCAUCUUUUGGAAUGGAGUGAAAUAACUCUUUCAGUAAUUGGGUCAUGUGAGUUGUUUCAAAAGGUUCUUUUGGUUUUUUAACCAGAUUGAUUAACCUUUUAUGGUAAAAAACUGAUAAAUUACCAAAAAAAUAAAACUUAUCCUACCAUUUUAUCAUUACCCUUCGAGUUAACCACUGCACAUUAUUAAUGGUAAACUCAUUAAAUUUUUUGGGUUCUUUAUUGGUAAGCAUGUAAUCCCAUCUAGCAAUCCAAGGUAUUUUACACCGUAGAGUAAAAUCCAAUCGAGGAUUAGAAAGAGAUUUAUUAACCUCUGCAAACUAUUCAUAAACAGUUCUUACCUUAUGUGGUAAAAUAAUUGGGAACAGUCCCCAGUUGAAGAACCAUUCAUGAAAUCAGGGAGGAAAUUCUUUAAUUUCCUUUUCUAGUUGAAACUGAAUGAACCAGCUAAACUUUCUUUGUCUGUUCUCGUACAAGAGCGCUCCGGUCCAGGCCUGAAUAUAGUCAAAAUAACUAUACCAUAUGGGCUUCCCAUAUCUCAACUCUCUUUGUUUAAAGAGAGAAUCACCCCAUUCUUCACUGGUUAUAAUAUUUUUAAUAAUGAACUUACUGUAAGCCCAUUGGUGCCCAGUUCUCUCUGUAGGUGCGAUUUCUACAGAUCCAGUUUCUGCUAAUAUGACUUUAUAAUAAUCAAAAGCCUUAGGUAUAAAUGGGAUUGCAGAAUGAUGUUCAGUGUAAUAAUUAGCUAUGUCAUAAGGCUUUAAGCCUUCAUGUCUCUUUUCAAUAGGAUUCAAAAUAUAAUAGCUGAUAGGAAUGUAGAGAUAGUUUACCUCCUUAUCACUUACAGGUUUAAUGCUUAUUUUAUAAGUAUCAUCUCUAACCCGAUCCGAUUCUUUAACUGAUGGAGGUGAUGAUUCCUCAUGCUGCCUUUUGACCGAAGUCCUUGAACUCAUUUCCUGUAAGAAAUUCUCUUGUUAAGAAAUCAGGUAAUGAAUUUGUUUCUCCUUUAAUAAAUUCAAUAUCAAAAUCAAAUAUAGAUAAAAUGGCUUGCCAUCUAGCAAAGAUUUACUUAGAUGCGAUGUUUUUAAAAUCUUUAAGGAGUAUUUCCUUAGCACUUUUGCAAUCGAUUCUUAUCAAGAACUUCUGAUUUAAUAAAUCAAAUUCAAACUUCUGGACACAUAGGACGAUAGAAAGAAUUUCUUUCUUUACAGUAGAGUAAUUUACUCUUGGUCCUACCCACAUUCCACUAGUAAAUCUAACCAGUGAUUCUUUAUCAUUAAUCCUUUGUUUUAGGAUUCCUCCAUACCCUUUAUCUGAAGCAUCAGUUUCCACUAUCUUAAAAGACUCUGGAUGUAGUAUUGCUAGACAGGGAAGAGUCUUUACCCUUUCUUUAAUUCAUCUAACUGCUAUGGUGCACUCUUUAGACCAUUCAGGAGGGUUUUUCUUUAGACGUUGAAACAAAGGUUUAGCAUCUUGAGCUUCUUUAUAAAAAUCUGCUACAUAAUUCAGACUCCCUAAAAACCUUUGUAACUGGAUUUUUUCCUUGAUUUCAUCUGGAAAUUUACUAGCAAAUUCUAUUGCCCUAUUGAUGGGAAUGAUUGUUCCCUUUGUAAUAUUAUGCCCUAAAAAACGUAUCUCAGUUUGAAAGAGUUUUUAUCUUUUUUGCUGAGACUACCAGACCGUUUAAUUUAACGAUCUUUUCAAACAUUUUUAAAUACUUGAAAUGUUGAUCUAUAGUCUUUGAGAAGAUGAGAACAUCGUCUAUAUAGACUAUAGAAAAUGCCGAAUAAGCAUUGAAGAUCUCAUUCAUUAUCUUCUGGAAUUCUGAAGGAGCAUUUUUUAGGCCGAAUGGCAUGACAUUCCAUUCGUAAUGCCCAAAAGGCACAAUAAAAGCUGUUUUAUACUUAUCUUCUUCAGCAACCUGGAUUUGCCAAUACCCAGACUUCAUGUCGAAUUUUGAGAAUAUAGUUGUCUCGAAGAGUCUGUUUAACAGAUCUCUCUUAUUAGGCAAUGGGUACCUAAUCCAUCUGAGCGCCUUAUUUAAGGGCUUGUAGUUUAUGACUAAUCUUGGGACACCUCUUUCUAGUUCUGCAGCGUUCUCAACAUAAAACGCUGGACAUCUCCAAGGGCUACUGCUCUUUCUUAUUAACCCUUUCUGUUCCAACUCAGAGAUUUUUCUUUUACAGAUUUCUAAGUGUCUCGGUCCCAAAGCUAUUGGUCGAGCUUUUGUGGGGAUGGCUCUUUCGUUGAACUCGGGUGUAAUACCCAGCUAGACUCCGGUAUCGGAAUUCCUACCGUCCGGUGGAUUCUCGGAUGUCGGAAACCUCUAGAAGGGUAAAAUCAUGUUUUUAUAAAAUGUUUUCAUGUAUUUUAUGGUUUUAAGUAAGAAAGAAAUUGAGUUUUGAAUGAAAAAGACCAUAGAGGGAAAUCCAGGUUCGGCCGCCGAACAUGCAUGAGUUUUGGAGUCACCUUCGGCUUCCGAAGGUGGCCUGGCCAGCCACCUAUAAAAGGCCCCAUGGCCGAAAAUGGGCAAGUUUUCUCCCCUAUUUUCGGCCAACGGUGAGUCCAUGCCCCCCCAUGGUUGGUUUUGAUGAUUUUCCUCAAAUCUUUCAAGUCUUAACAAGUUUUAACUUGGUUUUGAAGAUUUUUGAAGCUAAGAUCAAGUUUUGGAGCUUGAAGACCCAAGGAGCUAGAUUUCUCCCAUCUCCAAGUUAGGAUCGUCUCUCCUCUCGAUCUUUAAGAGGUAAGCUUAGAUCCUACCUUUCUUGUAUGUUUUAAGCAAGUUUUGAGGGGUUAUGGGGUAGAAUGCAUGUUUAGGUUAAUGUUGAGUUUAUGGAUAAUGUGUGUUGUAUGAGUUGCUAUAUGUGUUUGUGUUGGGGUUUAGGUUAGUUUGAGACCCCUAUAUGCUUAAUUGCUUGUGUAUGCAUGUUGUAGAAUAGCUAAAUGCAUGUUUAAAUGGUUUGGUAGGCAAAAUGUGCAUGAGGAGACUGAGUUCUGCCACUUUGGGAGAACUCAGGUUCGGCAGCCGAAGGACUUUCGGCCACCGAACCUGCUUGUGGAGGCAAGCUUUCGGCUGCCGAACCCUGCCCCCGAAAGUUGGACUUUCGGCUCUGGAAGGGAGUUUCGGCCGCCGAAGGUGCCGCCGAACCUGCACGAGUUUCGGCUCUGGAACCACUUUCGGCCGCCGAAGGUGCUGCCGAAAGUGGCUGAGUUUCGGCUCUUGAGGGACUUUCGGCCGCCGAACCUGCCGCCGAAAGUGCCCUGUUCAGCCUUCCUUUGCAUGAUUUCAGUGAUUGUUUUAAGGUGUUUUAGGGGGGUUUUUGGGGAGUAGUUUAAAGUCAUGUUCAUGUAUGUUUGGUCCCUCAUUUGAGUCUACCUGUGUAGGUUCGGACCUGAGGAACCGAGGACCCCAACAGUGAGAUAGCUGCUUCAAUGUCUUUUCAGAGCUAGCCAGAGGUGAGUAGAACUAAACCAUGUUUUAAAUAAUAAAAGUUUUUAGCAUGUUUCAUGCAUCAUGAAUGCCAUGUUUAUAUUAGGUUGUAUUGCAUUAGAAUUCACGAAGAUGAUGCAUUGCAUUAUUUGUUGUUGAUGUGGAUGGAUGUUGGAUGACCCAUUAGUCCUCAAUAUGUAUGAUGAUUAAUGAAUGUCCAAGGCUGCCCAUGUCCACGCGUCCUGGCAUUUAUUUAUGUAUGAUGAUUAAUGAAAGUCCAGGGCUGCCCAUGUCCACGCGUCUUGGCAUUGUGUGAUGAUUAAGAGGAAGUCCUGCGGAGCUCCAUCAAGGGCCGGGCACAUUGGAAUUAGACGGUUAUUGGUGACAAAUCCAUCCGUGAUGUGAAUUGUAUGUGUUGUGAUGCAUUACAUGAAAGCAUGACUUAUGAUAAUGUUUUAUGGUUCUGCUCACUGGGCUUUUUAGCUCACCCCAUUCCCUUAACCCCCAGGUGUGCAGGUACGGGAUAGACCAAGAUGUCAGUAAGAGUAAAGUCAUGUUUAUGUAAUAGUUAGAUGUGGACAUGAAAAUGUUGUAAUGUAAAGUGUUGAACAGUCACGUAAUGUAAUGAUGAUAUUGAGGAUUAGAAUUGUGCUUGACCCUAGUAUGUAAAGUAAAUCCCUUUUGCACAUGAUCUAUAAAAUGUUUUAAUGAUGUUUUAUGCAAACCAAGCUUAAUGUAUGAUAUGUUGCCCCAUUGGAGCAUUUGAUGAGGGCUCCAGUGUGGGGUUUUAUGGUUAUGAGUUUGUGCAUGCACAGGUUAAGCUUGGUAGAUGAAAGAAAAAGUUUAAAGUUUUUAUGUAUAUGUUUGAUCAUGUAUGGGAUUUAGCAGGUAUACAGGAUGUAUGUUAGGCUUGCUACGGGUCCCGGCGACCUUAAGUCGAUCUGGAUCCUAACGUCGGUAGCGGUCCGAUUUCUGGGUCGUUACAUUAGGCUCAUAUGGCAAAUUAACCACGAGUUUCUUUCUUCCCCAAAAUGCAUCUGGACUUUCUGCACAAAUGUUGUUUAGCAUUUCUUCUUAGAUUACCUUUAUCCUCUGUUGUACUUUAGGAUCCAUUAUCCUUUCUUCUGAACUCUUAUAGUUGACUUCCUGUUUUAAGGAAUUAAUGAACUUUGUUUUAUUUUUAACAGUGCUUUUUAACAAAUCAAUUUCUUUUAUCUUUGGUUGCAAGAUAAAAUAGAAAGUAAUUACUCUCCCAUUUAUCUCUGUGCUGAUUCCUUCUUCAGAUAUCUGUUGAAUGGGGUAGAGCAUAUGCAGGAAUGGAUUUCCUAGAAUAACAAGAUGAGAUAAUCCUUUUACCAUUAGGAAUGGGAUUUCGAAACAAGUACCUUGAUUGCAAAUAAUUGUGUUGUUUAAUUUGAACCGUACCGUCAUUUUACUGCCAUUAGCUGUGUUUAAUUCUUCGAUUGUCUUUGAGAAAUACCGCGAAGGGACCAAUCCCUCAUUGAUGCAGUUAAGGUCAGCUCUAGAAUCUAUUAGUGCGAUUGUUUGAAACAUAUACUCCUUAUGGACGACUAUCGUUACCUUGGUAUGCCACUUGUAGGUUAUUACCCUAUCUAUCAUGUUGACAUAAUGAAGAUUGUUGAUGCUUUUAUCAACAUCUUCAGGAUGAUUUUCUUCAGGUUCUUCUGUGGUGAAUUAUUGCUGUUCUUUUAGCAGUUUUAGGAUAUUUAUCCUUUUUUUCAACUCUUUAAUCUCAGUCUUAACCGAGUUGAGCUCUGCCUUCAACUCUAUUAGAGUUGGUUCGUUUGAUCUCUUCGAGUUUUUAACUCUUUCUAGAAUCUCUUUCAAGUCAUAGGGAGACUGCUUGCUUUCUAUUUUUUUAUCCAUCAGAUUAUGAGAAGAAGUUCCACCCUUUUCCCUAUAUAUAUUAAUAUAGGCUUCUAGCUUUUCUCUCUUCUUUUCUGGGUUGUCAAUAUUAUCGAUCAAGUCUAGAAUUAGAUUGUCUUCUUUGGUGAGAACCAAAAGGCCAUUCAUGGCGCAUAGCGAUUUAUAGUAGUCACAUCAGAUUAUGAGAAGAAGUUCCACCCUUUUCCCUAUAUAUAUUAAUAUAGGCUUCUAGCUUUUCUCUCUUCUUUUCUGGGUUGUCAAUAUUAUCGAUCAAGUCCAGAAUUAGAUUGUCUUCUUUGGUGAGAACCAAAAGGCCAUUCAUAGCGCAUAGCGAUUUAUAGUAGUCACAGUUUCCUUCGCAUUCAGUAGUCUCCUUUUGCUCUUCUUCUUCUGUGCUACUUUCUUCUUCUUCUUCUGUCGUAUAAUCUAUGGCAUUGAGUGCCAUGACUUCUUGUUCUGAGUCGAUCUCAUUUAGAAGUACUUUUGCUAACGCUUCUUUCUAAUCUUCUUUUAUCUUCAAAGCUUGAAUUUGCUGCUUAACUCGACACUUAUUAGCGUAGUGACCAACUUUUCCACAUCUGUAGCAAACAAUAGUUUUCUCUGUUUUGCCAUUUCUAAGUUUCGGCUUUUGCUUUAGCUUAUGGGAACGAGCAUGUUCUUGCUUCUGAAACUUUUUUGGUUUAGCCAAAUGUUGAUGAUACUGUCGCCGUUUUCUGUGGCGAAAGUGGUGGUCCUUAUCCUAAUUAUCAUGUUGUCAACCAUAAUAAACACUGUGAUCGUAGAGAGUAUCAAAGAACUCUAAGUCUGUUUAACUGCAUCCUUAAUUACUUAUAUUAGCUUUUAAGAAGUAAUAAUUUUUAAAUCUGGUAUAUAGACUAGAAUACUCAAACUUUCUCAAUCCGGCAAUUGGUGUGCCGUAGAGAUAACUUGAGACACAACGUCACGUACUCAAGUCAGUUGAUGGGAGUAAAAUGCAACCCACUCCUCUAGUUGAUGAAGUGAAAUUGUACUAUAGUCUCGAGUCGCAAGCAUUAACUUUCUUCCCAAACUAGUCUCCUGGAAGUUCUUCGUUCACCUCUACUAUGCCUAAUGAAGGAUGGAAGAAUGAAGCUACUGAUUUUAGAUGACUCAUACAGGAGCAUCAGCAGCAUGACUUUCUCCAAAAAUGAUGAGGGUAUUACCUCUCAGCUGGACCAAAUGAAGGAUAUGCUUAUGCACAUUAUUACUCGAAACACAUCCAGCCAGCCUUCAGCUCCUACUAAUCAAAGUACUUCAUCUGCACCGCCUCUAGAUUAGCCAAAUGUGAGAGGACGUGAUGAUGCUGAUGGUGAUGAUGAGGAUGCUAUAGAUUUGUAGUUCUUCAUCGCUUUAUUGUACUUGUUACCUUCAAUUUUCAAAUUACUUUAAUAUUUAUUUUCUACUAUUUAUAUUGUUUUAUACUUGUAAAUGGUUUGUUAUGAAUGAAUUGAGUGAUUUCUUAUUACUGGAUUGAAUAGUUUCUUGUUAUUGUAUUGAAUUAUUGAUACAUGAGUUGUAUUGAGUGAGUGAGUUUACAGGUAAUCAUGAGAGGUACAAAUAGGGGUAUGGAGGAGUGGAAAAAGGCAAUUAGUAACGGAUUAGUAAUGAAUUUUCCGUUACUAAAAAUUCCAUUACUAUUGUUGGUUAAAUAUAAAAUAGAAUUAUAAUGGAUAAUCCGUUACAAAUCCGUUAUUAAAAAUAUCCGUUAUUAAAAUUCACAAAAAUAAAAUACAAUUUUAUAACGGUUAAUUUGUUACAAAUCCAUUAUAGAUUUAGUAACGGAUCUGAAAUUCAUUACAAAAUGAUUAGCAACAAGGGUUUUUAUAACGGUUUGUGUUCAUUAUUAAUCCUUUAUUAAAUAUUACUAAUAACGGAUAUUGUUAUUUUAGUAAUGGAUUUUUCCAUUACUAUUCCGGCAAAUUGUUGCAGUGACAUGAAGAACUUCAUAGUUUUUAUAGUUGGGAUUAUCCUAACUCAAAUCAAGAAUUCUUUCCUGGAAAUAGAGAUAAAGAUCACAUAUCUUAGUACAAGACAAAAGGCCCAAGUAACCAAUACAUGUCUCUCAAUAACCCGCAUAGAUUUGAUAUUGUAGAUUAUUGAGGUAGGGGAUUCGGCUAUAAGACUCAUGAGCUCUGGUUGAAAAUGUUUAAUCAGCUAAUUUGGGAUUUCUACAAAAAUGCAUGCACACAGAAAGCUUGCAUGGAAAUGUAUAUAUAGAGUAUUUGAAUUAAUUUUCUUGUCCCAUUUUUCUUUUUUCCAUUCUUUUCAACCAAGCAUAAACUCAUUUAAAAUAGAUCUUCUGUAUUACAAAGAACAGAUCUCAGCAAUCCAAGAUAAAAAAGUCAAUUAACAGAUCUAAUUAAUUGCUAAAAAUUCUAGUAAGAAUUUUUUUAAAAUGGCUAAGCACAUUCUGACUAGCUUAAAACUGUAAAAUCACAUAAAGCAUAAUGUUCUAAUUAACUAGCUGAUUCAGGCAGUGUAAUCUAGAGGAAUCGUUAUGUGAGAGAUCACAAUUAACUACUUCAAUAGAAUUAUAAUAGUGAGAGAACUAAAAGAAUAAUUCAAGAACAAAACAACAGUAGAUGGGGAAAGGAACUAUGAAAUAACAAAACAAGUGUAAAUAAUUUCGAAGCAGUAUGGUUUUAAGAGCUUAAUAUGAUUGAAAAGAUUAGUUACCUUCAAUCCGAAGAUAUUUAAAUAUUGGAAAAAGCAAAUUGACCUUGUCGUAUCAAGAACAAUUUGCUCCUGUAACAUAAACAAAAUCCAACCAAACAAAAAUAUGAAUUGGCAACUCUAAGAAUAAAAAAAUUGAGCAGCAACAGCGAGAUAUUUUCACAAAUAGGAUAGUUUCUAACUCAUCAUGCGAUAAAGUAUUUAUCACAGAGAAGGAAAACAAUUGCUGCCACUGUCCACUAUUAAUAAGGAUCACUGAUUGUAAAAAUCUCUACAUAAUCAACUAUAGGUGUUUUAGUAUUUCAAAUGCAAGGACCGAUAGUUGCAAAAAAAUCGACUACAAGUGCCACAAAAACAACUAGAAAAUUUCUUAAAAUCCAAAACCCUAUGCAUAUAAAAUCAACUACAGUCCCAUAGCCCUAAGCACAUAAAUAAGCAAUCUAAAUCACACAAACAAGUAAAAAUUUAUAUAAAAAUUGAGUAAAAUAGAGUAAACCACAUCACCAAUCGUAUGAAUUUAAAUACCUUUGAUGCUGUAAUAAAAUUGUAAGGAGACAAGGACAGGUACAAUCCAUGCUCGUGAGCUGCGAUGGUGAAAAUCUGCGAUUGAGACAAAUGGAUAGGAUAUGUGAUUAUUACUGCUUUAAUAAUGGCAGCGACGGCGGCGACCAGGAAAGGUAAACUCCACGCUCGUGAGAGAUUGCACAUACACACACACACACACACACAGAUGGGAGUUGCACAAAAGCGACCGACAGCGAGAGACUUGAUUCGGUUGGGAGAUUAGACAAUGAGAUUAAGUGUAAAUUCUUUUGGCCAAGGAUUUUAAACUCCCAAAUCGAGAACUUUUGUUUACAUGGCAUGAAGGAGAAAGCUUGGAGAAGGAGUUAGGGUGUAAAUGAACCAAAUUGUUCGUGAGCUAUUUGAGGUUUGAUUCGAUAAAAGCUCAACUCGAUUUCUAAACGAGCCAAGCUCGAGUUAAUUUUUAGGCUCGUUUGAUAAAUGAGCCAAACUUGAGCUCCAUAGUAUUCGGCUCGUUAAGGCUUGUGAGCUCGGCUCGUUUCUGAGUUCAUGAGCAGGCUCGCGAAUAGGCUCAUGAACAGUCUCGUUAAGCAAACUGAAAUUACUAUCAUAAGAAAAAUAAACUCAAACUCUGCAUAUACUUUAAUGAGCCAAAUUUAAAUUUUUUAAAAUUUAGCUCUAUAUAGUUUAGUUACACUCUUAAACUUGCAUACAUUUGGAUCAUUGAGAUUUAAAAACUCAUCUUUAUAAGUUUACAUGCUAAUUUGUAGAUAUAAUUAUUUAACUAAAAUUAUUUUAGUUUUAAACUUAUUAGUUUUAAACUAAAACUCAUUAUACAUGUAAAUAAAUUAAAUUACUCGUGAACUAUUUGAGACUCAGCUCGAUUAAAGCUCGACUCAACUCAAUAAAAGCUCGAUUCGUCUAAGCUCGUUUGCUAAACGAGUCAAGCUUGAGCUUCUUAAUACUCGGCUCGAGUUCGAUAUGAGUAAAGCUCGAAUUCAGCUCGAGCUCGAAAAAAUUUUAACGAACCAAACUUGAGCUCUUCAAAGCUCGGCUAGGCUCGGUUCGUUUACACCCCUAGGAGAAAGCUUUGUGAAGGAGAAUGCUUUGAUGGACGUUGGACUUUUUUUUUUUCAUUUAUUUUUAAUUAUAAUUUAUAUUUAAAAUAAGUUUAGUUAAAAUUAAAAUAAAUAUUGAGAUAACAUUUUAAUAAUAAUAUAAAAUUAUAAAAUGGGGCUGAAAUAAUAGGAUUGAAAUUAAAAAUCAAUGUUUAAUAAUAUUACACUGAAAUUCUCAAAGUAAAAAAUUUGAUUAAAUCACAGUUAGGACAUUGAUGAAUUUGUAAGUGCACUAGUAAUUGUUUGUAAAAUUAAAUAAAUACAAAAUAAUUUAUAAUUAAAUGUGUAAUCUAUUCAUAAAAUUAAAUUGAUACAAAUGAAUAUAUAAUUUAUUUAUAAAAUUAAAAUAAAUACAUAUAAAUUGAAAAUGAAUGUAUAACUUGUUUGUAAAAUUAAAUAGGCACUUAAAUUCACACAAACCGAUUAGCAAAUAAAUAUAUAAUCUAUUUAUAAAAUUAAAUAGAUAUAAAUAGAUUUAAAAUUUAUUUGUAAAAUAAAUGGACAUAUAUCUAUUUGUAAAUGGACAUGUAAUUUAUUUAUAAAAUUAAAUAGAUAGGAAAAUAUUUGCAAAGACAUAUAAUUUAUUUAUAAAAUUUUAUGGAUAUAAAUGGAUUUGAAAAAAAAAGUAUAGCUAUUUAUAAAAUUAAACAAACAUACACAGAUUUAUAAACGAACAUAUUAAAUAGACACAAAUAGAUUCACAAAUGGACGUUCGUUUAUAAAAUUAAAUGAAUACAAAUGGAUUCGUAAAUAAACAUAGAAUCCCAUUUAUAAAGAAAAUAUUUUUACUACAUCUGUUUGUGAAGCUCAGCUACUAUCACAUUCCAAAACCAUGAGAUAUUUGGAUAGUUAGUUUUAUGGGAGGUGCUAACUUAAUACUGAAUUAAUUAGGGGAGGUGCUAGCUUAACCAUAGUUGCUUGAUACACAAUUUGCCUAGCACUAAAACUUGUAUUUAGAGGUUCAAUUUGCAUUUUAUAUAUAGUUAUACAUGCAAAUAUAGAACUAAAAUAAAAAUGACCAAUAAUAAUAAUAAUUUAAUAUCUUUAAGCUGUAAUAAUUGAAUUACAGAAAGUCCAAAUAAGAAAACGGACAUAUCUAAAAAUAAAGUAAACAUUGUGAUAAAUACAUUGGAAUUAAGUCACUUUUGGAAGGUGUUUAAGGAUUUUCCAAUAUACUAGAUUAUUGUACUUAUUAAACCCGACAUACUUACUUAAAUAAAAUGGAACUUAAAAGUUAAACGUGUAAUUUUAAUAGGUCAAUCUAUGAAUAUUGAAAGUUAAAAAACUAAAUUAAAACAUGAUAAAGAGUUUAGUAGGAUAAAGUGUGAAUAUAGAAAGUUUAAAAUCAAUUUCAAGUUUGGUCCUCCAUUUUUCUACCUCUUCACCUAAACCCUCUAUGCAUUAUCUGAAUAUGCAUGAAAGAAAUGACAAAGCAUGAAAGAAAAAUAUUGUCUUCAAAUUCCUUCAUGUUGGCCGAAACUACACCAUAAAAUGAUAAAAUAAAUUUUCUCCUUUUCUUCCAUUUCUACCCAAUUUCUCCAUGAAAAUGAGACUUCCAUUCAUGCAAACCUUUUCAUAAGUGAAAUAACUAGUAAAGAAACAUUAGAAAAAGAAGAAAAGAGAAAGAAAAGUUUAGAUGCUUAAGUGGUAAGUGAUAGAAAUUGAAAAUUAAGUUAGAAAAAUAUACUCUUCCAUGCUUUUAAUCAUUUUUAUAUUACUAAAUGAAUUAAAACUCUUGUUAUUAUUUUUAAAGAAUAAAUUCAGAAGGGGAAAGGUAUAUCAAAGGACAAAGGCAAGAAAAAAGAACAAGUGUACCUAAAACUUAUAGAAAGAAUUAUACAAAAGUUUUGGUGUUUGUAUAAUUUUAUAUUUUUCUUUGAUUUUCUCAUGAACAUGUAAAAUUAAGGAUUAGUUUUGAUUAUUGAAAAUGUUUCUUUGGUUGUAUAAAUGUAUAAUAUGAAUGGUGGUGGUGUUUAGAAGGGUUAAAGCAAAGAAAUUUAAUAUGGAAGUUAAAAGUGCAUACCUGACAGAAUAAGUUUUAACAGGGCAACCUGUGUUGGUAGUUUCAUAACUCAUUAUAUAGUCGUCUAAAUUAGGCCUAACAUAUAUCAAACAAAAGUUGAGAUGAAGAGCUAAAAUUUUCAUAAAGUGACCAAUUCUGAAUAUGUAGCUAGGUGUAUGUAAAAUGUAAAUGAACCUAUACUGGUCAUAGGAAUACUGCAUUCAGAACAACUUAUAUUUCUUAUACCAUAACUAAUUUUAUACUUAGUGAAAUGAUUUAAGACCAGUACCAACUAAACCUUGAGAAAUAUAGCUAAAACUUUGUAGAGAGCACCUAAAUUUGAAUCAGCAUGCAAAGAUAUGAAUCUAAUGUGUUUUUUUAGACUAAAAACAAGUAUCAAAACUGGAUUGGUUAAUACCUAAUUGGGUAGCUUUCAAAAAAAAUUUUAUAACUUGAAGUAGGAAUGUCAGAAUUAAGUGUACCAUAUUUUGUUAGAAAGCUAAGGCAUAAACAUACAACUUUCAUGACAACAUUUAAUCAAAUUCUGUCCAUAAGGCAUUUGAAAUGUAAAAACAAAUCAGACAGAAAUAACCUAAAUCUGAAUAUUGACCUAAAAUGAAUUAAAAUACUAGCUUUGACACCAAAUUACAUACAUGCUAUCUUGACGUACCUGCUUUAUGCACGUACUAGUUUAAUUAACUAACACUUUAUACAUAUUUUCUUAAUGAAUCAGCAAUACGCUUAUGACUGAAUAUGGUCUAUUACACACACAUGCAUGCUUUUAAAAACUCAUUUUAUCAAUAUACUUGCUUAUGAAUGUAUAAUUCAAUAUGCUUACUUGUUUGAAUAUGUUAAGUAUUUUUUGCUUGUGAAAUGGGGAUUGGGGGUUGGAGGUUGGGGGAGUAGAAUAUGAGACUUCUCAUAUUUACUCAGAUGCACUUACCACUAGGCUAAGCCCGUGAGUGCUAUUAAGUAUUUAAAUGGAUAAUUUUGGUGAAAAUGAACACACAUGCAUGCUUUUAAAAACUCAUUUUAUCAAUAUACUUGCUUAUGAAUGUAUAAUUCAACAUGCUUACUUGUUUGAAUAUGUUAAGUAUUUUUUUUUUUUUGUUGAAAUGGGGAUUGGGGAUUGAGAGAGUAGAACUUGAGAUUUCUCAAAUUUACUAAAAUGCACUUACCACCAGGUUAAGCCUGUGAGUGCUGUUAAGUAUUUAAAUGGAUAAUUUUGGUGAAAAUAAAUAUUUAACAUAUACAUAUUGAUUCUUGGUCCCAUAAACCUCAGUAGGAGUCGUAAAUAAAAUAAGGAUGUAGCAUAGGGGUGAGCAUUCGUUCGGUUCGGUUCAAAAUCAAAUCGAACUGAAUAAACCAAAAACGAAAAUUUUAGUAUUUAUGAAAAUUGAACCGAACCAAUUUUGGUCAGAAAUCGAAUUGAACCGAACCGGUCUGAUUUGGUUCGAUUCGGUUCGGUUUAAUCGAUUUUGAUUUUUAAUAAAUUUUUUAUUUUUUACACUUUAUUUUUAGUAUUUUAAAAUUUAAUUAAAAUAUUUUAAUCUUAAUAUGAUUUAAUUUCUCUAUAUUAUUGAAAAUAACAUAUUAUUAUCACUAAUCAGUUCGGUUCGGUUUUUUCAAUUAUUUUCUGAUCAAAAUCAAACUGAACCGAAAUAACCGAAAUUUCUAAAAUUAAAAACCGAACCGAAUUGAAUAAAAAACUGAACUAAAAUUUUAAAUUAAUUCGGUUCGGUCGGUUUUUUCGGUUUGAACUGAAUACUGCUCACCCCUAAUGUAGCACGCCAUAUACAGUUUAGCAGUUAUACCUUAAUGGGCUGUAUGAUAUGAUAUUUCUAGCACAUCAUGUGUCAUAUAGUUUUUAGUCUUUUGAGCUAUUUAGGCAUAAUAUUCGGCCUCCAGACCACACAAUUUGGCAUUCUGUACCAUACAAACACAACUUUUCUUAUUUAACUAGUUGAUCCUGCUAAGAGUUUAUAGGAGCUAAAAUUUAAUUAUAUGACUUGUUAAUACUUUACAAGUAUGUAUACAGAAUGAUUAUCAUAAUAUGAAUGACCUUACAUAUAUAUAAUUGCAUAACUUAAUUUGUACAUUUUUCACCCAUAGAUACAUAAAUUUUCUACACAUUUUUAUGAAAUGAUUUUAUUGUUGUUGUCUUGUUCAUUCUUAUUUAUACCUUGUAUGAAUAUAUUAUUAUCCACCCACUGAACGUAAACUCAAUGCAUUGGACCUUUCCAUCCAUGCACAAGCAGUAGACAAAGAAAGUGACAAGUAAGAGAUGUGAUAUUCUAUAUCAACACAGAGAAAUUAUCAUAACUAGUUAAUAUAUAUAGAGGUUGUUUAUGCUUGACAUAUACAUAAGUAGUCUACUAGAAGUAUGUAAUGAGUUUUGCAAAUAGUAAAAAUGUAAAUCAAAAUGUUUACUACUUUCUAUUAAUAUAUUUUGUUUACGGAUUUAAUAGUGUGUUGAGUAAAUAUUGAGAAUUUAUUACUAUUUUCCACAAGGUAAAUUGCUGAUGAACAGGGGAGACUCUUGCAGUUUCUUCAUUUUUUUUUUCGUGAAUUAAUAUACAUUUAAAUAAAUUAAAUAACAAUUGAUAAUAUAAAAGUUAAUUUAAGUCCACAUAUGUAAUUGCACAUAAUAUAGCAUGUGUCUUCCUUUAUACAACUAUCUUAUUUUAUAGAUGAAUAAGGGGCGUUAUAUUUAGAAAUAAAUUUUUAUCCGUUUGUGAAUACUAUUUGUAUUUUGUAAAAUUAUUGUAGUGAAAAUUUUUCUUUCUAGAUGACGUAGGUGCCACUUGUAAUUAAAAAUUUUAUCCUAACACUUAAUGAUCUCUUUCAAAGCAACAACAACAUUAUCUCUUGCUCUAGAAAAUAUUCCAACAUAAUAUUCUUUUGUCUCAUCCCAAAAUAAAUUCAUUAAAUUUUUUUUUUCGUAAGGAUCAACUCGCUUCAAAUCAAAGUCAAUUUCUAAAUAAGGAGGAUAGUGAACUAACGGCCUUAAUAGAUUUUCAUAUCCACUAUUUGUAAUAUGUUGUAUCUCACCAUCAAUAUUAGCCUCUUCAUUAAAUUUGUUUUUAUUAUUAAGCCAAGGAUUAUCCCCUUUAUUAUCAAGAUCAUUAUAAUAAUCACUCUUCUUCACUUUCAACAUUUUUAGACAAAAAGCUAAAAUUAUUUUUUUCACAACCACCAGUUCCUUUAUUACCACUAUUAUAAUCAUCAUUACCCCAACCUACAACAUCUAGUCUUUGACUUUGACUAGCACUACCUAUAUGAUAAUCAUUACCCACAAAUUAUACUUGCUUACUAGUAGAAGUACCAACUCCUGCUACCUUUUCUGUUAUUCUAUAUCCACGAAAAAUAUUGAUCUAUAGUAUAAUUGCAUAGACUACCUGAAACUAGCCCAAUACUUAAACAUCAUAUCUAAAUCUUUGUCAUCAUGUAAUUCAGUUAAUUCAUAUUUCAUAACAUACAUUAUUUUUGCAAUUAGUUCAUUAUGAAUAUACAACCUCUUUACACAUACUAUUUGCAAACCUAUUCUUUAUAAUUCAAUUUUCUUCAAGUACGAAAAUAACUAAUUAAUGUAUUUUUUAAAACGUCAAAAAUAUCUUAAUAUCAAGAUGAUAGCAAAAAAAAUCUUGAAUUUUUCAUGUUUCAAUAAAUAUACCACAAACUAAAAAUUUUAAUUAGUAUAUCCUAUACUAAUCAAUUAAAUUUAUUUAUACACUAUCGUACGAACUUGGACAAUUAAAUCUAACGUAAAUACUAUAUCAUUGUAACGAUCCGGAAACCGGACCGCUACCGGCGCUAGGAUCGGGACCCGUAGCAAGCCUCCUGUACCUGCUGGAUACCUGAUAACAUCUCAUACAUGAUUAUACAUUUUCAUAAAAAUUUAAAUCUUUUCAUAUUCCAAGCCUGACCUGCAUGCACUAAACCAUAAACAUAAAACUCCAACCUAGAGCCCUCAUCAAAUGCUCUAGUGGGUUAUCAUAAUAUACAUCAAGCUUGGACUAUCAUUUCUCAUCAUAAAAACAUUUCAUUAAAAGAGAUCAUGUACUAAAAGGGACUAAUCAUACAUUGGGGUCAAGCACAAUUCUAUAAUUAUAAAACAAUUCUCAACAUUUCAUUACAUAACCUCAAUUUACAAUACAUGUCCACUCUAACUACUACAUACACUAAGCCUCUACUCUUGCUGACCUCCCGAUCUAGCCUGAACCUGCAAGCCUGGGGGUUAAGGGAAAAGGGAGGUGAGCUAAAAAGCCCAGUGAGUAGAGCAAUAAAACAUAUACAAAAAUCAUGCUUUCAUGGAAUGCAUCACAACACAUACAUUUCACAUCACGGAUGAACUUGUCACCAAUAACCCUCUAUAUAUCCAAUGUGCCCGGCCCUCGACGGAGCUCCGCAGGACUUCCUCUUAAUCAUUACAUACAAUGCCAAGACACGUGGACAUGGGCAGCCCUGGACUUUCAUUAAUCAUCAUACACAUAAAAUGCCAGGACGCGUGGACAUGGACAGCCUUGGACUUUCAUUAAUCAUCAUACAUAUUGAGGGCUAAUGGAUCAUCCAACAUUCAUCCACAUCAACAACAUAGAAUGCAAUGCAUCAUGUUCGUGAGAUUCUAAUGCAACAACUUAAAAUACAUCAUGGUAUUCGUGAUGCAUGAACAUGCUCAAAACUUUGUUAUUUUAAUACAUAGUUCAGUUCUACUCACCUCUGGCUGACUCUGAUCUAACUCUGAAGCGGCUAACACUGAGGGCCUCCUCGGUUCCUCGGGUCCGAUCCUACACAGGUGGACUCGAAUGAGGUGUCAAACAAACUCAAAAUGACUCUAAACAUCCCCCCCAAAAACCCCCUAAAACACCUUAAAACAAUCAUAGAAAACAUGCAAAGGAAGGCUGAACAGGGCACUUUCGGUGGCAGGUUCGGCGGCCGAAAGUCCCUCCAGAGCCGAAACUCAGCCACUUUCGGCGGCACCUUCGGCGGCCGAAAGUCCUUUCCAGAGACGAAACUCAUGCAUGUUCGGCGGCACCUUCGGCGGCCGAAACUCCCUUCCAGAGCCGAAAGUCCAACUUUCAGGGGCAGGGUUCGGCAGCUGUAAUACCCGGCUAGAUCCCGGCAUCGGAAGCCCAACUUUUCGGCGGAAUCCCCAUUGGAAUCUGGAAUUCGGAAGAUGCCAGAGUCUUCUAGGGGGGUUAAAAUGUAUUUUCUAAAAUGUUUUCACUUGAUUUUAUGGUUUUAAAUGGAAAGGAAAUUGAUUUUUGAGAAGUUUAGGCUAAGGAGGCAUUUGCCAGGUUCGGCCGCCGAAAGUCAAGUUCGGCCGCCGAACAUGGGGCUGUUUUGGGAAGUGCUUUAGGCUUCCAAAAGUGUGAGGGCAGAAACCAGGUUCGGCCGCCAAACAUGCAUGAGUUUAGGAGGCAUGUUAGGCUGCCGAAGGUCGUCGACCAGGCCACCUAUAAAAGGCCCUCAGACCGAAAAUGGGCGAGUUUUCUCCCCAUUCUCGAGCUCAGGUGUGUUCAUGUCCUCCUCUAGUCAUUUUCAUGCUUUUUCUUCAAUCCUUCACGUUUUUAUAAGUUUCAUGGUUGUUUUGAAGAAGUUUUAAAGCUUGGAUCAAGGUUUGGAGAGCUUAGAGACUUUAAGAGUUUGGGUUCUCCACAUCUCAAGCUUUGGGUCGCACCAACCCUCGAUCUCCUAGAGGUAAGUGUAGAUCCUAGCUUCCUUUUGUGUUUGAUGAAGUUUUAAGUGAGUUUAAGGAGUUUUAAUGCUUAAGUAUGGGUAGAUAUGCAUGUUAGGGUUUAUGUGGGUUUUGUGCCCAAUAUGUGUUUAUGUGAUGAUAUGUUGAAGGUUUAAGCUAGGUUAUGCAUGUGGGAGAGUAUAUGCAUGAUUGGGAAAGAGCAUGAGAUUAUGGGUUGUUUUGAUGGUUUUGGCCUAUGUGAGUCAUAAACUAUCUAUGUAUGCUUUUGAUGUUGUUUUUGGAGUUUAAUCAAGUUGUUAAGCUCCUUUAUGCAUGGUUAAGAGUUUAUGCAUGUUUUUAUGAAGUUGGGUGCUUGUUUUGGGGUGUUUGGAAGGUUUGGGAGCCUGGUGUGCACGAGGGCUGUGUUCUGGAAGAACUCAGGUUCGGCCGCCGAAGGUAGUUUCGGCCGCCGAACCUGCCUAUGGAUGCAUGGAUUGGCCGCCAAACCUUGCCCCCGAAAGUUGUGUUUCGGAGCUGGAGCAGACUUUCGGCCGCCGAAGGUGAUGUUCGGCCGCCGAAAGUGCCUGACUUUCGUCUCUGGAGAGAGGGUUCGGCCGCCGAAAGUGCCCCCAAACCUGCAUGACUUUUGUCUCUGGAAGGGACCUUCGGCCGCCGAAAGUGCCCUGUCCAGCCCUUUCAUGGAUGUUUUCUAUGAUUGUUUUGAAGAUGUUUUAGGGGGUUUUCAGGGAGUUGUUUAUAAGUUGUUUAGAGUAUGUUUGGCACCUCACUGGAGUCCACCUGUGUAGGAUCGGACCCGAGGAACC
rnacentral:lncRNA from 1 species